rnacentral:rRNA from 1 species
AUAAGAGUUUGAUCCUGGCUCAGGAUGAACGCUGGCGGCGUGCUUAACACAUGCAAGUCGAACGAAGAUAUUUAGAAUGAGAGCUUCGGCAGGAUUUUUAUCUAUCUUAGUGGCGGACGGGUGAGUAACGUGUGGGCAACCUGCCCUGUACUGUGGAAUAAUCAUUGGAAACGAUGACUAAUACCGCAUGUGGUCCUCGGAAGGCAUCUUCUGAGGAAGAAAGGAUUUAUUCGGUACAGGAUGGGCCCGCAUCUGAUUAGCUAGUUGGUGAGAUAACAGCCCACCAAGGCGACGAUCAGUAGCCGACCUGAGAGGGUGAUCGGCCACAUUGGGACUGAGACACGGCCCAAACUCCUACGGGAGGCAGCAGUGGGGAAUAUUGCACAAUGGGCGAAAGCCUGAUGCAGCAACGCCGCGUGAAGGAUGAAGGGUUUCGGCUCGUAAACUUCUAUCAAUAGGGAAGAAACAAAUGACGGUACCUAAAUAAGAAGCCCCGGCUAACUACGUGCCAGCAGCCGCGGUAAUACGUAGGGGGCAAGCGUUAUCCGGAAUUACUGGGUGUAAAGGGAGCGUAGGCGGCAUGGUAAGCCAGAUGUGAAAGCCUUGGGCUUAACCCGAGGAUUGCAUUUGGAACUAUCAAGCUAGAGUACAGGAGAGGAAAGCGGAAUGAGUACGACCGCAAGGUUGAAACUCAAAGGAAUUGACGGGGGCCCGCACAAGCGGUGGAGCAUGUGGUUUAAUUCGAAGCAACGCGAAGAACCUUACCAAGGCUUGACAUCCCGAUGACCGUCCUAGAGAUAGGACUUCUCUUCGGAGCAUCGGUGACAGGUGGUGCAUGGUUGUCGUCAGCUCGUGUCGUGAGAUGUUGGGUUAAGUCCCGCAACGAGCGCAACCCUUAUCUUCAGUAGCCAUCAUUCAGUUGGGCACUCUGGAGAGACUGCCGUGGAUAACACGGAGGAAGGUGGGGAUGACGUCAAAUCAUCAUGCCCCUUAUGUCUUGGGCUACACACGUGCUACAAUGGCUGGUAACAAAGUGACGCAAGACGGCGACGUUAAGCAAAUCACAAAAACCCAGUCCCAGUUCGGAUUGUAGUCUGCAACUCGACUACAUGAAGCUGGAAUCGCUAGUAAUCGCGAAUCAGCAUGUCGCGGUGAAUACGUUCCCGGGCCUUGUACACACCGCCCGUCACACCAUGGGAGUUGGAAGCACCCCCGAAGGUGAAGCCAGUGACUGGGGUGAAGUCGUAACAAGGUAGCCGUAUCGGAAGGUGCGGCUGGAUCACCUCCUUU